UACGUAGGGUGCGAGCGUUGUCCGGAAUUACUGGGCGUAAAGAGCUCGUAGGUGGUUUGUCGCGUUGUUCGUGAAAUCUCACGGCUUAACUGUGAGCGUGCGGGCGAUACGGGCAGACUAGAGUACUGCAGGGGAGACUGGAAUUCCUGGUGUAGCGGUGGAAUGCGCAGAUAUCAGGAGGAACACCGGUGGCGAAGGCGGGUCUCUGGGCAG
rnacentral:rRNA from 1 species